GCUGCCACGCAGGUUCAGAACAAAGGGCUUGAGCAAGAGGACGAAGCCCAGGGCCCAACGGGGACAGCAGGAGUGGAAACAGUCACAGGGAGGCCCAGGCUGCCCUCUCCACUGCCCCCGGGGUGACCUGAACCGUGCAGAACGCUGAACAAAUCAACGCCCUUUCCAGGGAAGCGGAAUCCAAAGUCAGAGCCUGUUCCUCCACUUUUGAGAGGCACCAGGAUGUGCCUCUCGCUUGCCCAAACCCCCAGACUCGGGACUCAGGGCUGGGCUCUCUGCGCAUGAGCUAAUGCCGCACGCAGCACAGGGUGGCCAAGAACAGGACUCUGUCCCCUGUCCCACAUGAGCGCCACCUCCAAGCCUGCCUACCGUGGACCACUGUCAAGGUGAACGCCCGGGGGGAUGGCCCUCGUGGGACCACGUGAGGUGCAAGAGUCCCACGGGAUCACCAGAUAUAAAGAAUGUUCCCGGUGCGAUGUGAAUUUCAGGUAGGACCAUAUGAAACUGCUGUAAACCAGGCGUGUGUCAGGAAUUCCACUCAGCUUCCCCUGCUCCCUCUGAUCCCUCUGAUGCCUGAAUACAUCGCCGACUUCUCACAGGGGACAGGCUCCACUAAGAGGCAGCGCUCCGAGUCGGCCCAUCCAUAGGAUGGGGGAGCCCGCCGUCUGCUGGGGGUGUGGGACUCCCUCACAGGGGCCGCCGGGCUCCGUGUGGCGCUGGCCCUGUCUCCAGCUCCCUCGUGGGC
rnacentral:lncRNA from 1 species